GCAGCGUCCCCUCGCUCCUCUCCUCUUCCUCCAGGGCCCUAGCGCAGCCCGGGAGUCCGCGCACGGAGGCGCUAGGGGCGUCCCGCACUCGAGGGACACGCGCCGCGCCUGGACGGCCCCCGGCGGGCGCCCCCAGUGCACCCCGUGUCCCGCGCCUGCCGCGCUCCCCUCCCCCGCGUUGGUAUCCCGGGGGCCCAGGGCCGCGCGUCCCGGGGGACGCGCCAGUCCGGCCGUGGCGCGACGAUGGAGGAUCCGCAGCGCCCCCGCUCGCACACCGUCACCACCACCGCCAGCUCCUUCGCAGAAAACUUCUCCACCAGCAGCAGCAGCUUCGCCUACGACCGGGAGUUUCUCCGCACCCUGCCGGGCCUUCUCAUCGUGGCCGAGAUCGUUCUGGGGCUGCUGGUAUGGACCCUUAUCGCCGGAACUGAGUACUUCCGGGUCCCAGCAUUUGGCUGGGUCAUGUUUGUAGCUGUAUUUUACUGGGUCCUCACCGUCUUCUUCCUCAUCAUCUACAUAACAAUGACCUACACCAGGAUUCCUCAGGUGCCCUGGACAACAGUGGGCCUGUGCUUUAACAGCAGUGCCUUCGUCCUGUACCUCUCUGCCGCUGUUGUGGAUGCAUCCUCCGUCUCCCCUGAGAGGGACAGUCACAACUUCAACAGCUGGGCGGCCUCCUCGUUCUUUGCCUUCCUGGUCACCAUCUGCUACGCUGGAAAUACGUAUUUCAGUUUUAUAGCAUGGAGAUCCAGGACUGUGCAGUGAUUUAUCAUUUUGAUAAUUAAACGGAAAAAAAAAAGGAAGAAUCCCACUGUAAAUACAGCUCCAGUUGCUCCCUUCACAGGAAAAUCCCUUCAAGGCAUCAGCACACAAAAGAUUAUAAAUACAUGAAAUACGUCUGUAAUAGAAGGUAGACAUUUAGAAAUGCCAACUGAAGAUGUAGCCCCGGAUACAUUUCUCAAGCUGGGCUGAACCACCGUCGCUAGAAUGGUUGUGAAAUCGAAGAUCAGUUGUUAGCCUGUCUUUCUAAAACUAUAAUGGAGAAAAGUUGUACACACAAAAUAUCACUGCCACUGAAAACUGUUCAUGAGGGCUUUUCAGUAGAAAGUGUUUGGUGUAACUUUGAAUUUACAAAAGGCAGAGCAAACUUGAGUAGUAAAGAGUGGCAGGAUCAUGGGAUGAUUUUUUGUUUUUCUGUCUUUCUCCCAAUUUUCUCCAGUAAGGAUAAAAUACAUUCAUAAUCUCCAGUAAGCAUAAAAUACAUUCAUAAAUAUUUUUAACUAAAAAGCAAAAUAAAGCAGUAGUCUUAGCAGGUUGAAAAAAUCAGGAUCCUAUUUGUGGAAAAAUUUAAAUCUUCCAGCCUCUUUGCAAAGACAGACAAGCAGCCCAGGCAAUUGCAUGAGGACCACUGAGAGGACUGCGCCUAUUGCCUUUGUCUUUUUUUGUCUUGUUUUUGUUUUUGUUUUUUGGGAGGAAAUGUGGUCACCUUUGGUCGUCAUUUAUGAAAGAUUUCAUGGAUAAAGAAAGCAAGCUAAAUGUAAGGAAAUGGAUUUCAGUCUUUAAAGGUUACCAUCUACUCAAUGUCUGCCUGCCAGCAAAUCACUCUUACAAAUUUUCACCAACAAGAUUAUUGUGAAAAUUUACAUCUAUAGUUAUGUGUAGUAGGAAAAAAAAAAUGAGAAUUUACAUUUGCAUUCCUAGCCUACACGGAGAGAACUUCUUGUAGUCACUUUUUUUUUUUUUUUUUUUUUGAGAUGGAGUUUCACUGUUGUUACCCAGGCUGGAGUGCAAUGGCACGGUCUCGGCUCACUGCAACCUCCGCCUCCUGGGUUCAAGCAAUUCUUCUGCCUCAGCCUCCCAAGUAGCUGGGGCUACAGGCACGCACCACCAUGCCCAGCUAAUUUUUGUGUUUUUAGUAGAGACGGGGUUUCACCUUGUUGACCAGGAUGGUCUCGAUCUCUUGACCUCGUGAUCCACCCGCCUCGGCCUCCCAAAGUGCUGGGAUUAUAGGCGUGAGCCACCAUGCCCGGCCGCAGUCACACUAUUCUGCUGUCUUACACAAUUUCAGAACAUUCUUUCACCAUACUUAGAGACUGUAUAACAUGUAAUAGUCUUCCAUGGUUUCUUAAAUAGCACUGGACUUUAACUCUUUAAAAAUAAGGGAUAGCUGAGCAUGAUGGCAGUGCCUGUAGUCCCAGCAAUUUGGGAGACAGGCGAGACUGCUUGUAGCCAGGAAUUUGAAACCAGCCUGGGCAGCAUAGCAAGGCUUUAUCUCUACAAAAAAAGAAUUACAACAGAGAAAUUAGCCUAGUGUGGUAGUAGCACACGCCUAUAUUCUCAACUACUCGGGAGGCUGAGGUGGGAGGAUCGCCUGAGCCCAGGAGUUCGAGGCUGCAGUGAGCUCUGACAGUGCCACUGCACUUCAGCCUGGGCAGCAGAGCAAGACCCUGUCUCUAAAAAAUAAAUUAAAUUAAAAAAAAUAAGGGAUGAUGAUCAUUAUGAACAGUGUUGUAAUUCAGCAAAGUCCCACCCCAAAGGCCUCAUUCUUAAUUCCUAUGUCUACUUUUCAUAGAUGUACAGGCUCUUUCCUCACUGUCCAGACUGAUAGUACAGUCCCUCGUUUAUGAUCGUACAUCUCCUUCUGCAGCAGCCUAACCUCUUCUAGUGAAGGGUUCUUCUUUUUCACUAGACUUGUUGGAGUGGUAUAUAAAAUGAGAGCUGGCACGGGCUGAAGGGCAGCCUCUCCUGCAAGUUAAGGGCAUGAUCCUUAAUUCCUGAGCACUUAAACUUGGUCUUAACUAAACGUUUAAGUUUAGGGAGAAAAUGGUUGCUAAGUGCAAAUCUAAUAAGGGGGUAAACAUAAUAAAAUAUAUAAGGAACUCAAGAAAAAGACGACAUAAUUUUAAAAUGGGCAAAGAACCUAAACAGACAUUUCUCAAAAGAAGAUGGAGCAGUGUGAAGAGGAGGAGGCGAAGGAGGAGGUGAAGAGGAGGUGGACCCCCAGACCAACCGAAGCCCACGUGCCGCUGCAUCCCGCACCCAGCGCCUACGUCCCGCCGCCGUCACCACCAUGCCCAAGAGAAAGGCUGAAGGGGAUGCUAAAGGAGAUAAAGCCAGGGUGAAGGACGAACCACAGGGAAGAUCCGAGAGGCUGCCUGCUAAACCUGCUCCUCCAAAGCCAGAGCCCAAGCCUAAAAAGGCCCCUGCAAAGAAGGGAGAGAAGGUACCCAAAGGGAAAAGCUGAUGCUGGCAAGGAAGGGAAUAACCCUGCAGGAAACAGAGAUGCCAAAACAGACCAGGCGCAGGAAGCCGAAGGUGCUGGAGACGCCGAGUCAAGUGUGCGCAUUUUUGAUAACUGUGUACUUCUGGUGACUGUACAGUUUGAAAUACUAUUUUUUAUCAAGUUUUAUAAAAAUGCAGAGUUUUGUUUUACUUUUUUUUUUUUUUAAGCUAUGUUGUUAGCACGCAGAACACUUCAUUGUUGUUUUGGGGGAAGGGGCAUAUGUCACUAAUAGAAUGUCUCCAAAGCUGGACUGAUGUGGGGAAAUGACUUUCCCUUCUAGUUUUGAGAGACUUCCUCUUCGCUCCCAAGAGGAGGGAUUCCCUAAGUUUGACACACAUGGCCACCUUGGCACACAAAAGCCUUGUGGUAUGGAAAAACAAAUUCAUUUUCAUGUCCUCUUCUCCCUUUCUGUCUUUGAGCAUAGACUUAACUCCCUUAAGCCCAGACAUCUGUUGGGACCUGACCCCCAGUCAUUGGUUACAGUGUGUCAGGCAAUCUGGACUUGCCAGUGAUGCCAUUGAGAUGGCACCUGUCAAAAGAGCAGUGAUUCCAUUUCUAGAUUGUGGAUCUUCAGAUAAAUUCUGCCAUUUUCAUUUCACUUCCUGAAAGACAGGGUCGGCUCAUGAAAAGUUGUUAAACAACGUGCUAAAUGUGAACUGUCAACCCUCACUCUAAACUUUCCCUGUUCAGAGCAUCAGAUGAAGACUUCAUCGGGUUUUACAGUGGCUUUCUAAUUUUUGGUAGUCCAUCAAAGAAGGGAGUUUGAAAGUUGUUGUAUACUGUUAAUGAUUGUCUACCCAUGUCCUGCCUGAAAUACCAUGAUUGUUUAUGGAAAGUAUCUUUAAUAAAGCUGGAUACAGUUUGGCUUGGGAAAAAAAGAAGAAGAAGAUAUACGGGCCAUGUGCUGUGGCCCACGCCUGUAAUCCCAGCACUUUGGGAGGCCAAGGCGGGUGGAUCACGAGGUCAAGAGAUCAAGACCAUCCUGGCCAACAUGGUGAAAUCCCAUCCUAAAAAUACAAAAAUUAGCUGAGCGUGGUGGUGCAUGCCUGUAGUCCCAGCUACUCGGGAGGCUUAGGCAGAAGACUUGCUUGAACCCAGGAGGUAGAGGUUGCAGUGAACCGAGAUUGUGCCACUGUACUCCAGCCUGGCGCCUGGCAAUGAAGCGAGACUCUGUCUCAAAUGAAAAAAAAAAAAAAAAAGAUAGACAAAUGGCCAACAGGUAUAUUAAAAAAUGCUCAGCAUCACUAAUCACCAAGGAAAUGCAAAUCAAAACCACAAUGGGAUAUCACCUUUCACUUCUUAGAACAGCCAUUCUCAAAAAAAAGAAGAGUACUGGCAAGGAUAAGGAGAAAUGGGAACCUUGCACCCUGUGGGUGGGAAUGUAAAUUAGUAAGGCCAUUAUGGAAAACAGGAAGUUCCUCAAAAAAUUAAAAAGAACUACCCUAUGAUCCAGCAAUCCCACUGCUAGGUAUAUACCCAAAGAGACUAACUCAGCAUGUCAAAGACGUAGCUACACUUCAUGUUCAUUGCAGCGUUAUUCACAAUAACCAAGAAAUGGAAGCAACCUAAAUGUCCAUCAACAGAUAAAUGGAUAAAGAAAAUGUGGGCCUGGUGCUGUGGCUCACGCUUGUAGUCUCAGCACUUUGGGAGGCCAAGGCAGGCAAAUCACAAGGUCAGAAGUUCGAGACUAGCCUGGCCAACAUGGUGAAAACCCAUUUCUACUAAAAAUACAAAAAUUAACCGGGUGUGGUGGCAGGCGCCUGUAAUCCCAGCUACUUGGGAGGCUGAGGCAGGAGAAUUGCUGGAACCUGGGUGGUGGAGGUUGCAGUGAGCCAAGAUUGUGCCAUAGAGAAAAAGAGAGAGAGAAAAAAAAGAAAAAGAAAAUAAAUAAAUAUGGGCAUACAGUGGAAUGAUGCUUCACUUUAAGAAAAAAAUAAAGGAGAUCCUGUCAUUUGCAACAAGGAUGAACCUGGACAGCAUUCUGCUAAGUGAAACGUCAGGCACCAGAAAGACAAAUCCUGCACGAUCUCACUUAUAUGUGGCAUCUAAAGAAGUCACACUGAGAAGCAGAAUAGAAUGGUGGUUGCCAGGGGCUGAGGGGACACGAGAGGAAUGCUGGUCAAAGGGAACGAAGUUUCAGAUAGGGAACAAGCAAGCUUAAGCCUUAGUUAAAAGGCUUUUGUCAUUGUUUCCUUUUAGUUGUUACUAUAACAUUUACAGUCUUAUAUUUACAUUCACAAAUAAGGCAAAGCGAUAUUCCCAAGUUUUAAGGAUAAACAGUUUAAUUUUUUUAAAACAAUGCUUUUGAUAUUUUCAGAAUGAGUAAGGGAUUUGUUUUCUGAAAGAAUUUUUGAUUGGUUCUGAAUGCAAAAGGUAAAUGGUAUAUUGGUUUGCUGGCACUGCCAUUAACACAGCACCACAGACUGGGUGGCUUCAUGAACAGAAACCUACUUUCUCACAGUUCUGGAGGCUCAAAGUGCAAGAUCAAGGUGUCGGCAGAUUGAGUUUCUUCUGAGGCCUCGCUCUCGGCUUGCAGAUGGCCACCACCUCACUGUGUCCUCACUUAGUCGCCCUCUCACUGCGUCACCUGUUCCUAAUCUCCUCUUCUUACAAAGACACCAGUCAUAUUGAGUUAGGGCACACCUUAGCAACCCCAUUCUAACUUAAUGACCUAUUUAAAGGCCCUGUCCCCAAACACAGUCAUUCCUAGGUACUGAAGGUUAGGACUUUGGUAUAUGAAUUUGGUGGCGGGCCAGGGAGGCACAAGUCAGCCCAUAACAAACGGCAAUGUGCUCUCGCUCUCGCUCCCGCUCGCGCGCGCGCGCGC